GACGAACGCUGGCGGCGUGCUUAACACAUGCAAGUCGAGCGGUAAGGCCCUUUCGGGGGUACACGAGCGGCGAACGGGUGAGUAACACGUGGGUGACCUGCCCUCAGCUCUGGGAUAAGCCUGGGAAACCGGGUCUAAUACUGGAUAUGACUCCAUGACGCAUGUUGUGGGGUGGAAAGCCUUGUGCGGCUGAGGAUGGGCCCGCGGCCUAUCAGCUUGUUGGUGGGGNGAUGGCCUACCAAGGCGACGACGGGUAGCCGGCCUGAGAGGGCGACCGGCCACACUGGGACUGAGACACGGCCCAGACUCCUACGGGAGGCAGCAGUGGGGAAUAUUGCGCAAUGGGCGAAAGCCUGACGCAGCGACGCCGCGUGUGGGAUGAC
rnacentral:rRNA from 1 species